GCCUUCGUGGUAUAACGAUCAAGCACACUCGGCGUGUAUUCGAGAGGUCCGUGGUUCGAGUCCCGGUGAGGGCA
rfam:Stegodyphus mimosarum contig8450, whole genome shotgun sequence.